rnacentral:lncRNA from 1 species
CUCAGGCAGCCCAAGGGGCGCAGACUCACGAAGGCCAGGAUCUUGUCUCUGGGUGUCGCAGCCUCACGUGGGGAACGUGGUGCUUCAGUGGCGGUGCAACUGGCGGGUGGCGGUGGAAUCGUGAGACCUGGAGAAGCGGAAGGGCACUGGGAGAAGGACGCGGACGCCUGCAGGAAGUCAGGCCUGGAAGGCGCUCACAAAGAGCGGGCUGUCCUCUCAGGUACUGCGCCUGCCUGGGCCCAUGAUGGCAGGCCGAGCGGGCAGCAGCGGGUGGCCAGGGAGGCAGAGAGGCCGCAGCGCCAAGGGGCUGGUGGGCUCCCGCGGGAUGGGACGUGCUUUGGAUGAGUGAUUGGGGUGUCCCCCAGGCGGGUGGCCUCUCCGGGUGGUCCUCUCAUUCAGGAGGCUUGCCUUUCCUUCCUUGUCCCUAGUGGGCUGUUUCAGAGGGUGAAGUGUCAGUCAUCACGCUCGCUGUACAGUUCCUGAGGUGGCUCUCCAGGCCUGUGGCUUCCAGGAAGGGAUGUGCGGCCUUCACACAAGAUUCCCCCCAUGAAAUGUGGUGAGUUUCUUCUCUGGCUGUGAUUUCCAACCUGGAAUCGCCUUCAGGAGCAGAAAAGGGGACAGUUUAUCCAACGUGAUCUUUCCAGUUUGAGGGGCAUUCUUAGGAUGCAUCUCUCCUGUUUUCUCAUACGCAUUCAGAAUUUCAGAUUUUCUCAUUUCCUGAUUCUUAAAAGUAGACAUUGACUCCCUUAUUGCACAUAUCAAGUCAUGGCUUUUUGAAACACUGGGUGGAGUGAUUGUCAUCUCACUAGUGCACCAGGUUCUCAAGUAGUAAACUGACCUUCUUCCAUAUGUAGUCCAAUUUUGUAAGGAGAGGGAAUGAAUUUGAAAGUGGGCUGUGUGGUGAUAAUGAACUCUGACCUGAAUGAAAGAGGAAGGAGGAAAUGCUUAGAUAGUACACACUGCUUCUAUCAUGAAGAAGUGUGAGUGCAGCCACCAGGUAGGUCUAUGUUGUUGGCAGUAUGAAGCAAUAUAUGCCCAUUACUACUUUGGGGUAGCCAAUAGUAUUUAAGUGUAGGUAGUUUUGACUAAUCAUCCUCAUGUACAGGUUUAUAUUUAUUUCUUCAGGCUAGGUUAGAACAAAAACCAGGACCAUAACCUAAUUCUUGAUCAGUGCUUUAGUCCUAUUAUGUAGCAUGAUAUAUAGUACUCAAUUUGUUUUUUUAGUGGUUAUGCUCAUUUUAAGUACUUGAUUAAGGAGUUGUCUGCUAGGCCUUUCAUUUGUGAGUUACUCUUUUCCAUUUUGUGAUUAAUGAAUGACUUGUAGGGUAUUUGGGGACUCUAUAUCUUAGUCAUUAUCGUGCUUUAAAUUUACUCACAUUUAUUUUAAUAUAGACUUCUUGAAACUUAUUUUAUUCAGUGGGCUGUAAUCCAUUAUUUCAUUAUUUAGAUUUUCAAGUUGUGCCAGAUAUGAGUAGUAGGAAAUCUAAGUUGGAUUCUCAAUUUGGGCCAUUGUUUGAACACUUUACUUUCCUGUUUGUUUAUUUUUUAAAGUAUAAAUUGGCAAAUUUUAGUUGUAUAUAUUUAUGAUGUAUGAGGAGAUGUUAUAGUUUAUAUACACAGUGUGAAAUAAGCAUACUAACAUACACAUCAUCUUAAAUACCAGAGUAUUUUUGUGGUGAGAACAUUUGAAAUUUAUUCUUUUAGUAAUUUUGAAAUGUAUAGCAUAUUAUUAUUUAUUUACCAUGGUGUGCAAUAGUUCUCAAAAAACAGAAAAAUCUAUUCCUUCUGUCUGAUUGAGAUAUUGUAUGCUUUGACCAUUUUCUUCCCAUGUCUCCCAUGCCACAGCGUCUGGUAACACCAUUCGACUCUAUGCUUCUUUUAAUUUUAUUAUUUUUCAUUUCACAUGUAAAUGAGAAUAUGUGGUAUUUGCCUUUAUGGAGUACUUUCUUUUGACAGUAGAUAUUUCAGGUUCAAUGUACUCUUUAUUGGCUGUUCAAACUCUGGUAUUAGUUGUUUCUCUAAAAGCCCUGGUUCCUUUUAAUGUGGGCCUAGCACUUAGAAUCCUGAAUCUGAGUUCUAUAUGAGUUCAUUGCUGUUUGAGUGUCACUGCUCUGGCAUAUGUGUGUGUAGGCACACAUGCAUACACUUAUUUGUAUAUCAUUUAUAUUUCAGUGUUUAUUAUUCAUUUGUUCUGAAAUGUUCAUACAAUGAAAUGCAUUUUAAGUCAAAUGUGGUUGACUUUCAAUAAAUCAUUAUAAUCUAAACUGCUUUCAAGAUAAAGAAUGUUAAGCCACACCUGAGAAAGUUCCCUUGUGUCCCUUCUAAUUGAUUUUUUCCUACUGAUUAAAGGCAGGAUUCUGUUUUAUCCUACCAUUGAGUGUUUUACUUUGUCUUUUUAGAAUUUUGUAUAAAUUGAUUCUUCUUAAAAAUUAAUUGUCACUGGAUCCUUAUUUUGUUUAUUUAUAUGCUGUGCUGACAAUCAAACCCAAUGCCUCACACAUACAAGCAAGUAUUCUACCAUUGAGCCUCAACCUAGAAACAUAAUGGGUACUUACACUUUUUUGUUAUUGUUUUUGUUUUUUGUUUGUUUUAGUAAAAAUUGAAGGAGAAGUUUUAUUGUUUUCCUAGCAAUAGAGAAACAAUGGGACUCUUGUUCCAGAGGCUGUUGAUUCUGCCCAUCAGGAGGAAUAGGUUUUUUUUUUUAAAGAUACAAUUCAAAGGCUACAUUCCACCUAUUUUCUGUUCAGGAGUUGUAACUCACUUGUUGAUUUAGGAGAUAUUCAUUUCUGAGAUCUUCUGGUGCCGUCUUCAAGUCUGAAUUACUUAAUUCUUAUUAUGGAUGUGAGUCUUAUUAGGAUGAGUAAGAAAGUUAUGGGAUCUUACACUCUGUGUCUGAAUCAAUAUGCUUUAGAGGUUCAUUCAUGUUGCUUGAAUCAGUGUUUUGUUUUGUUUUCUAUUUUAUUACUGCAGUAGUAUUCAUUUUAUGAAUAUAUCAUAGUGCAUUUAUUUUUUUCCAUUGAAGGAUAUGUGAGCAUUUUCCAGGCUUUGAACUUUAUCUUACUAGAUGUAUUGGGGAAAAAUAUGUAUGUGUAUGUGUAUAUGUGUGUGUAUACACACAUAUAUAUGUAUGUAUGUAUAUUUCACUUAGGUAAAUAACUCAAAGAGUGGAAUGGCUACCACAUAAGGUAAAUCUUUGUUUUCUUUUAAAAGAAACUGUCAAAAAUUCUGAACAUUCUCAUGAGCAAUAUAUGAGAGUUCCAGUUGCUGCAUAUCUUCACAUUGUUUAGUGAUGUAAGUCUUCAUACCUUAGCCAUUUCUGCUGGGUAUAUAGUGGUAUCUCAUUGUGGCUUAGGGUUGUACUUCCAUGUUGACUAAUGAAGUUGACAACAUUUGACUGUCUUUUAUUGGCCAGUCAUUCUUUUUCUGUGAAGAAUAGAUUUGGAUCAUGUCUAUUAUUUGUUGAGUUGUCCUGUUAUUACUGAGUUGUAGAAGUACAUUUAGUAGGACUGGAUAUAGUCCUUUGUCAGAAAAAGGUUCUGUAAUGGGAUUACAGGUAUGACCUACUCAAGUUUUAAACAUAUUUUUUUAAACUGAGCCACUACUGUUUCUAUCAAAUCCAUGUUGCCUGAUCACUUAAUGCUGUAUAGACUUAUGCACAGAAUUAGAUAAUAUUUUGAAAAGGUUUUUUUUUGUGUGUGUGAAGGAUCCUCAAAGUCAGGGGGCAUACCUGUGGUCCCAGCUUAUUGGGAGACUGAAACAGGAGGAUCAUUUGAGUCUCAAAGUUCUGCUGGAUUUGUGUGCAUUAUUUUUUAAGCUUUAUUUAGAAUAAUACUUGUAGGAUAUACUGAGAGGUAAAGGUAGAUAAACAUUUAAAUAAUGAUAUAUGUAUCAUGUCCAUUUUUAUUAGGGUAGAGUGACAUACACCUAUUUUGUAAUAUAAUUUUGUUCAUGAAAGCAUCAUAAAUGGUAUUAUCAAAUAUUAUUGGAGCUUGACAAAAAUGAAAAAUUCAAAUUUUACAAAUCUCUGUAGAUAAAUGUCUUUUAAUUAUUGUGUUUGCUGAGACUGUUUUUUGUAAAACACAAAUACAUAGUGAAAUGUGUAUUUUGAAAUAAAACUCAAUUUGAUAAUGGAAAAGCUUAGAAAGGAGUAUUUAGAUUUGGUUUACCAUGAAAUUAAAAUACUUUUUUUAGUUGAACAACUAGUCUGAAGUUUUUACUCCUUAAGAACAAACAUAUUAGAUGAUUGGAUUCUGUCUCUGAGUAAUGCAAGAAUAAUAAAUAAGCAUCAAAACUCAGAGAAUCGUAAAAUGAAUGAAUUCUGGGCAAUAAAAUUUCUGGAAUCAAUUUGAUCUGAAGUCAGAACUUAUCAACAUUCUAAUUGUCUAGAUUUGUCAUUCUGUUAGAGAUAGCUGAUUCAUAAAGGAAUUCUGGGUCACAGAAUAUAAAUGACAAUCUGUUCUUGCUGCAUCAGCCUUUGCUUAUGCUAUUCAAAUGCACGGAGCAUCAAAUCUGGAUGUUUUAUUAUAAUACAGAAAAGAAAUCUGAAUUCCAAGCAAAGACUUGAGAAUUGAGUGUCUACAAUAAGGUUUAAUUACAGAAAAUUUUAUACUUACCCUGUGUCUGUCCAUCUGUCUCUGUCACAGAUUUCCACUAUGACUCCAAAAACAAGAACAAUGAGGAAAAAGUUUUUGACUGAUUUUAUGUAGGACUUAAAACACCUAGAGAAAGUGUUCAGCUCUGAGCUAGGAAAUUCUCCCCGCCCCCAUAACCUUAGAUGAACAUCACUGUCCUUUGUCAAUAUCUAUCUAUCUAUCUAUUUAUUUACUUAAUUUAUUUUUGGAAGGGGAUUGGGGAUUGAACUCAUUGGCAUAUGACCGCUGAGCCACAUCCUCAGCCCUAUUUUGUAUUUUAUGUAGAAACAGAGUCUUAAUGAGUUGCUUAGGGCCUUGCAGUUGUGGAGGCUAGCUUUGAACUCACAAUCAUCCUGCCUUGGCCUCUUGAGCUGCUAGGAUAACAGGCAAAUGUCAAAACAUUCAGCUGACAAUGUCCUUUGCUCGGUAGUUAGUUAAGAAAAAAUUUCUCAGGAUUUUGUGUCCACAAAAAACAUUCCAAAAAUGUUGAUGUCACACUUCAGGCAUCAUGUUCUGGGUUUAAAAAUGCCCUGCAUGAUACAACUUAGCUUUGAACAUCAAAUGCAGAUUUCACAAUUUUGAAACCAGGCGAUUAAGAAAUAAAGGUGUUGAACAGCAAAAUGCAGCACAUCCUGUUGUCAAAUACACACACACACACACACACACACUCGCACGCGAGCGCGUGCGUGUGUGUGUGUGUGUCUGUCUGCUUACAAUGAAUAGACAGCUGGAGGCCAUCCAUAACCUUGAGCCCCUGAGUCUCCAUUCAUGACCCUGAGUCCCUGAGCCUCCAUUCAUGACCUUGAGCCCCUUACCCUCCAGAGUUUUGCAGAAACAAGAAUGUAGCACACAACACCUCCCCAUAAACACACUAUAUUAUUUACUAGACAGGCCAGCUGAAGUAUGGUGUGCCUUUCUAACAAUGUGUGGUUCUAUUUGCAUAUAUAUGGCAUCUGUAUUAGAGAAUGCUAAGACAGAACCUGAUGAAGCAAAGUUGCUCUUUCUCUUAAAAUAAAACCACAGUCUUGCACCCUUUUCAAAUCACUGGUUUUGUAACAUGCUGAUUUGUUACAUUUGUGAAACCAAGAAUAAGAAUGAUGUAAGAAUGAUGUAAAUUAAAAGCCCACAAAGUAAUGCAUCCAUCUUGCCAGCAACUGUUAAAAGGAUGCAGGUGUGUCACCAAGGAAAAGCAAGCCGUUCCCCAGCCACAGUAUGAAAACUCAGGAACUUACCUUUCCCUGGACCUUUCUUCAAAUCACUCUGCAAGGUGCUUUUUCUCAGAGAGUUAGGGUUUUAACAGCUAACAAAGUAUGAGAAGAUCUCUUCAACUUCAGUACUUCUGGUUCUCCCAGGCCUCUGCAAGACUCAGUCUUCAUCUGGGCAUGGUGGUAUGCAGCUGUCAUCCAAGCAGCUGGGGAGGCUGAGGAAGGAGGAUCACAUGUACAAAAAUAGCCUCAGGAACUUAGCAAGGCUGUAAGCAACUUAGCAAGAUCCUGAAUCAAAAUUAAAAAAGAUUUGGGGAUGUGGCCUAGUGGUAGAGUGUCCCUUGGUUUAAUCUCCAGUAACAAAAGAAGAAAAAGGAAAAAGAGGAGGAUAAGAAGAAGGAGGAGGAGGAGGAGGAGGAAGAGGAGACUCAAUCUUUGGACUCAGACUCAGUUUUUACUGUGUGUAAAUGUUAAUAAUUACAUCAUUUAAAAAUGUUUUUAAAAUGAUAAUAGAUAUACUUACUGAAUGCUCACCAUAGUGCUCUAAACCAGAUACCUUCACUGAGUUUUGCUGAUAUGGCAAUAAUAAACCGACUGACCAUACUAAGAUGUCACCUCUCUUAAUGGGUGUUUUAUUUGGGAGCCUCUGGUCAAUUACUCUCUCACAACACACGUGUAUUAACAACCCCUGCAAAUCCGACUAACUCAGACUCUGUGAACAGUAGCAAACUAUGAGCAGACCCCAAGUAGGCACAGAGACAUUUGUUCAAACUCCACUGCAGGUGUGAACUUACCUGUCUGCCUCACUGCUCAUCAGUUCUCAGGCUAGGGCAGUGGUCACACCCAUGGCACAUGGGGCCUGUCUAGAGGCAUUUUUGAUUGUUAAAAAAAUUAAGAUGUGGUCAUAGCAUAUCUAAUAUGUAGGGAACAGAAUGGCUACACAUCAUAAUUAUGGGCAAGCACCUCACCACAAACAAUCCUAUGGUGUCUAAGGUUAACCAUGCUGGAGCUCAGGAAACCUGGGCUAGAUCACACAUGCUGCACAUGAAAGCACUGGGCCUGUCUAGUUCUUUAUUUUGUCCCCAGUACAUUAACCACAAUGAUCAUCUCCUUACUAGGUGUCUCCUACUGGUGAGGAAGGGAGGAAAAAAAGAAGGGAGAGAAGAAGACACCCAGUAUAUUCUCAGGAGAAACUGAAAGCCUGCAUACAGGAAAAUUGCUAAUUUGGGCCUGGUUGCAGUGCUACAGUCUCUCUGUCAAAGAGUUCUGCAAUCCAUUCCAAAGUUUUCCAGGCCAAGUCCAGUUGUUGAUGUCAAGCCAGAUGUCCCUCCUUGAACAUCAGGGAAGAUUAUUCCUAAGCUAUAAUCCCAAUUGAGAAAGUAGUCUUUCCCCCUCUUCUAUCGCAAGCAUGUGUUGGGGUAGGGGAGGUACUGAAGAUUGCACACAGGAACAUUCCACAGAUGAUAUACACCUGAACAAGAUCCUUAGCCCUUUUUUAAAAUUUUAUUUUGGGACAGGGUCUCAUUAAACGGCACAGGCUGGCCUUGAACUUGCAACCCACCUGCUUCAGUCCCAUGAAUCACUUGGAUUAAAGGCAUAUACCACUGUACCCAGGGCAUACCUUCCUGGAUAUAGUUAAUUCCCAGAGAGUCAGCCAUCUCCCUAGCAUGCUCACCUUAUGCAAAUUAGGCAAUCAAAUUCUCACACCACCAGUCCCCUAUUAGGCACCCAGCCUCACAGGCCUCUUUUUGCCUGCUCCAAGCACAGCAGGUCCAGGUACCAAAGAACCAGGGUUGACCCCUGCCCACUAGAGCCCACUGAAAUGACUAAAAUAUACUAACCCUAACUAAACCUGCUUCUGCUGCCUUGUCGUUUCUUCCUGCACAAAUACAGUAAAGUCUCUUUCCCAUGUUGUCCAUCACCUUCUGCCCUCUCUGCUCCUAACCAACCCUGGCACUUCCCUCAUGGCCCUACAGUGCUGUUCAUAGAAAACUCUAGCUCUCUGUGACAGUCUAUCUAUUUCUGUGAGUCUUCCAUAUCUGAUGAAGACAAACCCAAGGCACUCUUACAAUAAUGCCAAACCUGUAAAGCUUCUCCAUAGGGCCAGGGCAACUGCAUAUAUAGCCUUCAACCCUGAGCCUGGGUCCUGGGGGUGCACCAGAUUCCUGUUAGUCCCUCCCAUUUUAAUGCUGGGUAAUAGUGUCAAUGGUGAGAGCAAAGGAAGGCCACUGAAUUUGUGAAGUAGGAAGUGUGCAAGCACUGUUCCUGUUGCUCACACUCUCUUCUUUCAAAUUGGGCCACAGAAGAGACCCAGGAGCAGACAAAAGCCCACAAAAGAUGGGGAUAGAGCUAGACUUGGACCCAAGAAUAAAAUGUUAGUUCUCUUUCCAGCCACUCAGUUAUUUUCCAAAUGAAUAUUUUAAAGCAUUGAAAAAAUGCAGGCCAUAUGUUCUGGGUAUCCUUACAAUCAAAGUAAACUUUUUUACCAGAAGAAAAUAGACUGUCGCCACUUUAUGUCACCACUCCUCCCAAAUUGUAUUUAGGGCCUGUGACCACAGCUGUGCCACCUCCUGAACUACAGGCUGGGGGAAAUGGUCAGGCUGACCUUCAAGGGGAGGAGGACUUGUAACCUUCCAAAGGAUUUUCCUGCUACAGUACUAUAGUCAUUGCUCUCUCUAAUCAAAGCCCCUAGCUUCAUAUCUGUUCCUGGGCACUGCAGUAAAAUCAGCCUGAGCACAGGAACACUUCAAGGACUGUGAUGGGAGCGGCUCAGAGAAGCCAGCAGGAAAACACAUGCUUGCCCUCUCAUGGUCUCAACAAGAAACUGCAGGUAUCAGCACACCAUAAACCAGGAUCUUCAUAUAAGAAAACUGCAAUCUUUCCAAUUGUGGUCAGAGCACAGUGACAGUGGGUUUUGCUUCCAUCUUGGAAGAGUAGUAAAGUUCAAAAUGUUUAAAAGGUUUUGACUAUCUGGUGUGGGUGUUGUCAUUGAGAGUCUUAAAGGGGUCAUUACAACAGGAUUCCCUGGUUUCCUGAGCACUAGGGAACUGUGGUGCCUACCCCUUUGGAUCUCAAGGUAUUUCCAUCUGCACCGGAACUGGACAGUUUUUGAUGCCAGCAUGUGGUGAGUGUCAGUCAGUGAGGUCAUCUUAAAAAGUUUUUUUUUUUUUUUUUGGUUUUUGUUUUGUUUUGUUUGUUUGUUUUUAGUACAAUGGUGAAAAAAGAUCUUGUUCUUGGAGGAGAGACCAAGUCAGACCAUAAGUACUCAUCCCCAAACAUGAACCUGAAGGGAUCAUCAAAAUUAAGAUUCCUGAGCCACUCUGAGUCUAAUACUAAUACUGUCUGUUUGUGACCUGAGAAUCCACAUUCAUGUCCAGUUCUCUGUUGAAAUUGUUGUUGGUCUGGGUUCCACUCUUUGGGACCCAGUCUCAACCAUAAUAUGACUUAGGCUAUAGUGAAUCUUCCUAAAUGAUAGGGGACAGAUGUGAGUGGUGGGAGCAUGAGUUUCAGGGAAUAAUUCUAUAAAGUGGGCCCACAAUGUUGAACCUCACCAUGCUGUAUUUUCCAAGAAACAAUUUACCUGCAGCCUUGCCCUGCUAAAGUGGACAGGAUAUGUCACACUCCUCAGCAAACUAUUUGUUUUCUGCAGGAGAAAAGCAGGACUGUAAUAAUGUUGAUAAGAGGAACCAAUUUCCAUGCAAGUUAAAAACUGCACAUUGCCUCAAAGAACUCCUCAUCUCAGAAUCUAGCCUGAGGAUUUUCACAUAGUACAUAAUCAAUAAAUUUAUGUGGUUUAUAAAGUCAAGACCUGGACCUCCCUUCUCCUCAGAGCAGUCUCAGAAGGACAAACUAGAAGCUACUGGAUGGACCAGAGAUAGGUGAUGAAAGGUUGGGGGUGAGAAGAGCCUGUCCUUGGCCUGAGAGCUGAGCGGAGCCUAGCUGUAAGCCCUGCUCUCUCCUUCACUAUUUCAUAUAGUGUCACUGUACAGAAGUACAUCUUUCUUGAGGCUGUGACUCACAUCAGCUUAACACAGUGACCCCAGGUGAUUCUUGUGAACCUGGCAGGGAGGAACAGGAGAAUGCUGAGAAAGGGUCCUGCAUCUGAGGGGAUGGGGCACAAGAGUACUCAAUUACUUGUUUUCCUUAAUGUUUUAAUCAUUCAUUUUUUCUUGCAGGGUUAAAGUAGGAGAAAAACUAUUUGAAAAUUUGAAAAGUACAUGUAUUAAGACCACUAAGUUAUUUGUUACAUUGUGAUGGCAAAUAAGACCUGGUUGUGGAAUGAAAUCAUAAAACUGUUCUGGUAAAGAUCCUCUGCCUCUUUUGGUGCCAAUACCAUGCUGUUGUUACUAUUGCUCUGUAGUAUAGUUUAGGGUCUGGUAUAGCGAUGCCACCAGCUUCACUCUUCAUGCUAAAGAUUGCUUUAGCUAUUCUGGGUCUAUCAUUUUUCCAGAUGAAUUUUAUGAUGGCUUUUUCUAUUUCUAUGAGGUAUGCCAUUGGGAUUUUGUUCGGAAUUGCAUUAAAUCUGUAGAGUGAUUUUGGAAAUAUGGUCAUUUUGAUCUUAAUUCUGCCUCUCCAAGAGCAAGGUAGAUCUUUCCAUCUUCUAAGGUCUUCUUUGAUUUCUUUCUUUAGGGUUCUGGAGUUUUUAUUAUAGAGCUCUUUCAACUCAUUGGUUAAGUUGAUUCCCAAGUAUCAUAUUUUUUUGAGAAUAUUAUAAAUGGUGUAGUUUUCCUCAUUUUCUUCUCAGAAGAUUUGUCACUGAUAUACAGAAAUGCCUUUGAUUUAUGGGUGUUGAUUUUAUAUCCUGCUACUUUGCUGAAUUCAUUUACUAGUCCUAGAAGUUUUCUGGUGGAUCUUUUUGGCUCUUCUAGUUAUAGAAUCAUAUUGUUUGCAAAUAGUGCUAAUUUAAGUUCUUCUUUUCCAAUACAUAUCCCUUUAAUUUAUUUUUUCUGUUUAAUUGAUCUGGCCAGUGUUUCAAGGACUAUGUUGAAUAUAAGUGGUGAAAGUGGGCAAUCCUACCCCUUUUCUCUAUAAAUAUAUAUGGAACUGUUUAUAAUUAUGUAUUAUAUACAAUAUGCACAUAUAUGAUACAUACAAUACAUAAACAAAACAUUUUUAUAUACAUGAUUGGUUAUAGGGCUCCCUUUUAAGUACCCAGUGAAGUCCUGGUUUAAUUUAUAACAAAGAAGACACCAGCCAAAACUAAUCUCAACCCUCCCUUACAAAUGAGUCUGAGGCUGGUAUCAGACUUGUGGUCAGAUUUCCAUGUCAUUUUAUAAACACAGAAGAACAUGAGCGAUAGAGGGAUUGGGCAGAGAACUAUUUCAUUGAGGACACAGAGUAAAAGGAGGACAAGAAGAAAUAUAAUUAGUUGUGUCACUUUGCAUCAUCAGAGAACUGGAAUCUGAAAUUCAUACAAGGAGGAUUCAAUCUGUUAUACUUGGGCACAUGGAUGACACGGGGCCUAUAGUGAAAUGGUUAUUACAAGCUUUUGAAAAAAAAAUCAUAUGAGUGGCACAUAAUGGAUAAACAAUCAAUAUGUACACAGUAUCUUCCAAGUGGUUUGUGAGCUGUGGCCCAAAGCACAUACAUGUAUUAGGAGCCUUGAUGAAAUUACCCAUCAGUGCCUUCUACAAUUAUUCACAUUUUAAAGGUGAGAAAACACAGAUAUGUCUGGAUAAUAAAUGGUAAGUCAGCAACACACAGAGAACUACACAGAGACAGAACUCUAUAGAAUCCCUUCAAAGGCUAUUUUGUUCCUGAUAUAAGGAAUGUCUGUCUGGAGAAAUAUUAUUUUCUCCCCAUUUUGAAGACAGUGCCUAGAGAAGACAUCCCAGGAGCAACACAAAUGUUUUUCCUUCUUUAAUGUUAAGGAACUCUUCAAAUAAAAUGCCAGAUCCAUUAUGAGGAUAAACACUUGGAAAUUAUACAGUGCAAAAGAGCAUACCCCAGGCCCAGAUGCUAAGUAUGACUCAGGAAAUAAAUAAAUCAAAAAGGCAUAUAAGUCAUUUAAUAAUUAUGUAACUAUUACUAAAAAUAAAUGUCAUUUUAUUCAAUAAACAAUAAAUUAUGUAUAAAUAUUUCAAGGAUUUGCCAAAUCUUAUCCCAUAUGAUUUUGUAAUAAACUCCAAAAUCAAGAUAAUAGAAUGCAUAAUACAGUGUCAAAAACUUUCAAGGGAAAAAAAAAACAAGCCUUCAAGGAAGAGGAGUGUAUAUUUUAGUGAAUGUCGUUCAACAAUUUAUUUACUAAAUGAUUUUGAGGAAAUAGAUUUAUUUUCCUGCAGCCUUAAGGAAGGGAGAUUUUCCCCUAUUUAUUUUUCCUGUUGGAAUUUCCCAAGAUAAGCCCUAUAAUUCUAUCGGAAAUGACGUAUAAAAUAAAACAGAGAAAAAUACAAUACAUACUGAGGGGAAGCAAAAGAGCAAUUUGUUUUUAUUAAUUAGUAAAAUCAUUUUUUUUUCUUGAAAUGAAACUAUAUUUGCCUUUUUGGGUUUAAUUUUUUAAUCCUUGUAGCCAGGUAUCACAACAGAAAUGCAUGGAAGUUCCUUGAACUUCCAAUUCAUACAGGAGAUAAUCUAAGUGUUCAAUAAUCAUAAAAAUUCAACAUCUUUAGCAUUUAGAGAAAUAUAGAAUGAAAUCCAAUCAUAGACAAAAUUAAAUAGUAUUGAUGAAAAUACUAAACAAAUGAAUACUUGUAAACUCAAGAGCAGUUUAAGUUAUUAUUAUCUAUUUGUGGAAACUGUAUUUCUAUUGAAGAUACAUGACACUCCCCAUCAAUGAGAGUUACUUCUCAAAUCACAGCAUAUGUGACCAUGAAAACAUGAAAGACCACAACAGUACUCUUGCAAACACUUGAAAGAGAUAAAUAAUAAUCUGUGAGGUAAAUGGACACUAGGUUCCAGUCUCAUUUUUGGUUAUAGUAUAUCCAGUUUAAAAAUAGUGUAAAACACUAUGUUUAAGGUUUGUAUAGGUGUAAUAUUCAUGUGGUAAUUCACAUGUACACAAGUUUAGAAAAAAAUAUUUAGGAAUUGUGAGAAAAUAAAAAUUAUGAGAAACACAUAAAAGACUCAAUUACACAUUCUGUAUGUAGAUGAUAAAACUCAUCAUUAUGAAGAUGAGGAUUUUCCCCAAAUUAACCUACAAUAUAUUACCACCAAAAUUGCUUUGUACAUAUAUGAAUAUAUCACAGGCAAUUGUACCUUUAUGUGUAUCUAUAAAGCAGUAAUUCUUUAAAACUAUAAAUAAAUGGAAAAGAGGAAAAGGUAGAAAAAGAGUGAAAGGGGAAUUACUGGUAAUGAAGUGGGGCAAAUUAUAUUCCAUGCUUAUAUGAUUAUGUCAAAAUGAACUCAAAAAUAAUAUGUAACUUAAUGCAAUAAUUUUAAAAAUCAACAUGCUUUUCUUUUAAUAAAAUAAAUAACCAAAGCAUACAUUCUUAAAUUCAUAUAUAUAUAUAUAUAUAUAUAUAUAUAUAUAUAUAUAUAUAUGUAAUUAUACAAGAAAUUUUUCAAUUGUAAGAGCAAAAGAAAUACUUAUCAUCUCCUGAAAUUCAUGUAUAUUAUGAAAUUAUGCUUUUACAAUAAUCAUCGAGGAAUCACUAUAUGAACAAAUCAGUAUAUGAAUCCACAUAUAAGUAAAAAUUACAUACUUAAUUGCAAUUGAAAAGUCUAGAUAAAUCCAAUCUUAACAAGACCAAUCUCAGCAAAUUAGCUAGACCCUAUAUCAAAAUAAAAAUUAAAAGUUCAAGUUGUAUAGCUCAGUGGUAAGUAUCCCUUGGUUCAAUACCUAGUAAUGUUUAAGAAAGUAAAAAUGAAACUAGCUAGCUGAGGAACAAGCAAGGCACUAUAGACCACAGGUCCUCUCCUGAAGGAAAAGGGCAUGUAAAGAUUUGAUUAUUAUAACCAUCCCAUCUGUCUAUAACCAGCAUCUGGCAAGAGCCUAGGUUGCAGGUGUACUCCUGCCAGAUAGUAUUUCAGAAAGGGACUGAGGAUGCCCUGCAAGGUUAAGGAAGGCUGUGAGAAGUCUCUGCCACUCGUAUGUUCCCCACUUGGAUGAGCCAGUAGGAUUGGGGGUGUACUGCCCAGUGGAGUGCUUAGGACUGCAGUCUACAGAGACUGCCCAGAGUCCCCAUUUGCCAGCACCUGUUCCUGCCACAGCCAGGCCCAUCUCCCUUCCCCAGCUUCCAACAGUCUCCCUUCCCCAGCUUCCCUCCUCAGACUCAUGAUGUCAUAGCACACUAACCAUUUCCUUGUGCUCAGGAGCCAGGCCUGCUCCAUAGGGAUCUCCACCACCUGUACAUCAGAGCAACCUGGGACUCCCAAGCAUGAGAGUGAAGCCUGGAGUUGAAUGCAGAAAUGGCAGACUCAAGAGAAAAGGACCAGAUUUCAGAUUCAUGUAUAUUAUGGAAUNAUAAGGCCAGUUUUAAAUGUUGUUGGUUGCAGCUUUUUUUUUGAGGUCUCAGAUUGCACACCAGAGCUUCAAGCUGCUGCUAUUUUGGGGGGUAGGAUACCUGAGAUGGAACUCAAGGGCACUCAACCACUGAGCCAUGUCUCCGGCCCUAUUUUGUAUUUUAUUUAGAGACAGAGUCUCACUGGGUUUCUUGGCAGUUAUCUUUUGCUGAGAGUGGCUUUGAACUCAUGAUUCUUCUGUCCCAGUUUCCCAAGAUGCUGGGAUUAUAGACAUGCAUGAGGUGUGCCUAGUCAGGCUGCUGCUAUUUUAUGGCAAGAUUUCCUUCCAGAAGUUGGAUCUAGCCCAACAAGCAGAACAAACCUUGUAUAAUAAGUAAUUUCAGUUUAUGGAUUAUAUAUGUUGCAUAUUAUUCAUGAAGAAAACUAAUAUAAUGACAAUUAUUACAAAAUUUCACUUAACUUUUGUGCCCUCUCUUCUUCUUAGGGGACAGAUUUCAUGUUGAACUGGGAAGCAACCACCUAAAGCAACAAUAUCCAAUGUAAAACAUGUAAGGCACAGAGUAAUUUAAAUAUUUCUAGUAUUCCAUUAACAAAAUAAAAAGAAACAGUUGAAAGUAGUAUUAAUAACAUAACUAUCCUACCCAGAAUAUUAUCUUUCUGUGACAGAUAAAAUACUACUAAUGAAGUAUGUGUGUUUUGGGAACUACAACCUCGAGUUUGACUUUCUCUGUCAUCUCAGUUCACAGGAACCACAUUCCAGAUUUUAGAGCUAGGGGUCCCUUAACAUCAGGAACUCAAAGGACCUGAUCAUCUCUUUACAUGAUAGAGUUGAGGGACAGAGUUCCCUACUAAUAUUUCUCCUCAUGCCUCAAAAUUAGGAGAAACAAUGUCCUGAUUGUGAGAGGAAGCUCCAAUCAGUAAGUGUCCAAAAGGAGAUUAUUUUUCCCACUUAAUACUGAUUACAAGUUCUUUCCCAUUUCAGACAUCAGGUGGAAAAAAAAAGAUGGGAUUCCAGGAGGUUAGGAACACAUCACCUGCAGUCUUCCACAGCCUUGAUUCUAUUGUUUAAAUACAUGAAAUACAAACUUUUUGGGCAAUUUGAGCUUAGACCAAAUGGCCAGGCUAUAAUAUCUGUUUUCUCCUGUGGACAAAUUCUCACAACUCAUAUGCAGGUGGACUGGGACUAAAGAUGAGCUGUAUCUGACUCCAAAUCCAAAACACCUGCACAAGAUCACAUGACUCUUACAAUAUUCCUUAUGCUUAUCACACCUGGGAAGUAACAAUUAUUUUAAAACGCAGGAAUUGUAGUGUAUGCAUAUAAAAUCCAGCCCUAUAUAUUACAUAGUAUAACACAAAAAGAACAUGCUCAUAUAUCUGUGUCAUCUCAGGGUUUCCAUUUCAGGAUCCAAGGAACCUUGUUUCAGUUUACAUCAAAGGCAAACACCAGCUAGAAUUUAACUCAACACUCCUUUCCCUAUUAAUAUACAGGUUGAUAUUGAAUAUGUGGUAAGUUUAAUCAGGGGUUACUGAUUAUGAAACAGGCUGAUCUAUAGGGAUGUUAAGGACCACCAAGUCCUAUGCUUUUAAAGCAAAGAGGGACAUGGACUAUAGAGGUAUGCAGCACAAGUUUGUUUUAAUUGAGGCCAAGAUAGGACAUAUAAUUAUUGGCAGUACCAUGAAACAUCAGAGAAUUGGAAUGUGGAUUUCAAACAAGGAAGUGUUCACAUAUUAUAUUUGGGUGUGUGGAUGACCUGAGUGCCAACGAUGAAAAUUGUUAAAAGGUUAUAAGCUUCUGAAAGAAAAUUGAGCCAAAAUUUUGUCUCAGUGGUAGAGUGCUUGCCUAGCAUGUACGAGGCACUGAGUUCAAUCACCAACUUCACCCAUGCAGAUGGCAACCUCACCCCAGAGUAGCAAUAAAGGGUAUUUUCUGAGAAUCCUUUGGCUUUGACAGGUCCAUCCAUGCCUCCUGGGCCUCCUUGAGCCCAGGAGGAGGCAAAUCUAUGGUGGAAAGGAGGAAGGAAGGAUAUCUCAGACACAGAUUUUGACCAGAGGAAGCUAUCACACGGCUCUCACUGUCAUGGUCUUUGGCACCUCCAGCUAUAGAGCUUCUGCCUCCUCCUAUACUCUGAUGCCUGCAUCAAGGUCCAGCCAGGCCCAGAGGCCAGUCCAGCAGAAAAGGAGGUACAGAAGAGUUGUGAGCUAUGUCUCAGGAAACCCUUCACUCCAGCAGGACCCAAAUCCAGACUACCAGAGAUACAAGCACAGCUGGCCUGUGACAGGCUGGCCUCACAGGAGGGGAAGGGGAAGGACUGGGAGCUGAGAGGCCAGAGAUGGUAAUGAGGAUUGAUAACCUGGGAACCUUUGCUUCCAUACAGCAUGCACAAGGCAGAUUGCCGUUUAUACAGUCACAUGACUGCUAUACCAGUCCCCUAAAUUGCUGCCCAUCUGCCCUCAAGGUCCUCCUAAUCCAGCCUGAGACUUUGGAUAACACAUGUAGGUACAGAAGGCUUCUUAGCAGCAGAAUUCACACUGUGGAAGGUGAGCUGAUCCCAGGUCCCCAGAAAUGAAGGGAUGAUACAGACACCUGACAUCACCUCUUCACACAGGUGUGUGUGCACAAGGAGGCUGCCAUGACUGCCCUGCCCUCCCUGAAUAUCAGCAUGUGCACUUAUGCAUACCCAUCAAGGUGCCACCAGAUAGCAUGAAUGUGGCCAGCAGGAGAGCCUAUUGGGGUGGUUACAGAGAAUUAGAAAGGCUGAGGGGAAAGCCUCUUUGGCAUGGAGUGACCAAACUGAGCAAGGCCCUCAGCCUCCAGGAAACUCAGUUGACCUCCUUACUUCAUCACUGUCCUCACCCCCUCCCACACAGCCCCUGCUGCCCAUGCCUAACCCAAGAUGGCUGUGCUGGCUGCUAUUGUGGAUGGGGCUGUAAUGCAGCCAUGGGACAAAUUGUAGCCUCUAGGAGAAAGGAGGGGUUGUCCCAGCCUAUACCAGUCCCACUCCCACUGCAGACUCCAAUGCUUGGGGGUCCAACAGAAAGACUAAGAUGCAUAGACAUGGGGUAAUCCAGUGAGUUAUAAGGGGGGUGUGGAGGGGGAGGAGAUAGAAGGAGGAAGAAGGUCCAAAGCUUAUGGAAAGAACCAGUCAGGGGUCUGGGGUUGUGGUUCAGUGGGGCCUAUCACAUGUGGGGCCCUGGGUUUAACCCUCAGAACCACAAAAAUAAAUAAAUAAAAUAAAGUUAUUUUGUCCAAUUACAGCUAAAAUAUAUUUACAAAAAGAACCAGUCAGUAUUUCCUGUUGACUCCCCUUCUCUUGGGAGACGUUUAUUACUUUGUUACCUUUUGCUCUUGCAAUAAACAUGCUGGGUUUUUGUUUAUUUGUUUGUUUAAUUAUUUGUGUCCUGUUCUUCAAUUCUCCGCAGAGGGGAGAAAAUGGACCCUUCAGUAACAGAGGAAGGAGGAUCCUCUGAGCCCGGAUUCUAGGUUCAGACUAAAGAACACAGCAACCACCACUCUACCUAAAGACAAACAAAUGAAUGCAGCCUUUGGAUCCCAUAGGCAAGCAAAGUGGUGGAAGGCCUCUGGAAAAGUGCUUCCAUAUUGGUUAGAGAGAGAAUGGGCAGGUAAAAAAAUGGAGAUUUGGCCUCCUCCCUUUGAAGCCCAGCUCCAGGUGCCCAGGCCUCAGGCUUCUGAGCCACCCCAUCCAACAGCUCUGGAGCAUGCAGUCCACUAUACACGCCCUGCAGGGCGGUUCUCAAGUCUGCAUGGAGUGGGGAAUCCACUGAUGGCCUGCAGGAGGGCAGAAGGACCAGUCCAGCUUUGACUAUACUUGUGGCGCCCAGGGCAGAGGUCGUUCAGAUCACAGCUUCCUCCUUUUUCUCACCCCAUCCUGGCCCUGGGUUUCCAGCACCUAGUGGAUUAUCUGUAGCUUGGAUACUUUGUAGCACUGUGCUGUCAAUCUGGCGUCUCUUCCUUGGUGGGUCUGUUUUGGGCCCACCAGUGGAAGCAGGUGGGGGGGUCUCAAGGCAACAUGGUUGAGUGGCAUUCAGGCGCCAGGGGUGGGGUAAUAGGGACAGGAACUUGGAGCUUCAGAAGGGCAACUGGGUGGGGGUCUCCAGGGGCUUAGAGGUCAGACCUGAAAAGCAGAGAGCAAAACCUUCCAGGAAGUGAACCUAGAGCCUCACCCUGGAGCUGCGUGCCCUGAAAGGUAGGAGAACCAGGCAGAGUUCACUACAGUCUGGAAGCCCAGCAACCCACCUGUCUUCCCAGCACCCCCUUCACCCCAGGCCAGCUUGUAACAAGUAGCUCUUUUCUUUCCUUGCUUAAGGGUCCCAUCUGAACUCCACCUAACCUGUCCUUCCCCACAGAUGAUGGUGCAGUAGGGGAGGAAAAUGGGGUCCUGAGAGGGCUCAGUCCCCCUCCAUGGAAUGUCAGGAGCCUCCUUCAGUAAAAGGGCCAGUGAGAUUCUCACUAUGUGUAAGCAUUUAAUGGAUUGUAUGUAUAUAAUAUCAAUAAGAUCAAAUACAAUGCAUGUUUGUACUCGACCCAGACACAUAUUAUUGAGAUGUUUAUAGAUUGACCAUGUUGGGUAGAUUGGCUUACUUCACGGAGCAUAAUAGUUUCUAGAUUCAUCCGCUUACUGGCAAAAGACAUUAAGUCACGAUUUCAUGAUUAUUUAUAAAUAUAUAUUUUUAGUUGUUGAUAGAACUUUCUGCUUAUUUAUUUAUUUAUAUGUGGUGGUGAACCUAACCCAGUGCCUCACAAGUACUCUACCACUAAGCUACAACCCCAGAGAACACUUGAUUCAGUUUGAUAUUUUUCUGCCUAUAUUAAUAUAUUAUCUUUAAAUAACAUUUUAAUGUAGAACUAUUACUUUUAGACUUUUGCUCCUAGAAAUUCAUUGUUAAUAUCUCUCACACUUACUUGGAAUGCAUAGAACUAUUUAUUUUGUAUUGCAAAGGGUGUUCUGUAAAUAUGAUACUUUAAGUGUUUCAUCAGAAAUUAUUAGUUAAUCAUCUGUUCAUUGCAAACAUGACAGUAAAAUCAUAUUGGGACAAAAAUUAUAAGUAGAUAAUUAAAGUUAACAUUGUACAGCUAUGCAAUGCUAUUUAAAUUCAUAUAAAACAUUGAAUUCAGAAAUUGUUGGUUCUGGAGAUGGAAACCAAGACCUCACACAUGUUGUGCAGGUGUUCUACUAUGAGCUAUAAACCAACCUGCUCUAUUCAAAUUAUUAAUCUAUUAGAAUGGUUAACCCACUGAUGGAAGUCAGGGCCCUUGUAAUCCAGACUUUUCACCUCUUAAAACUUCAGCACUGCCACCUGAGCUUUGGGGGACAUUCCAGACCAAAACCAUGACAUUUAUGAAAACAAAACUAAAGUAAAUGGGGAAAUCUUUAGAACAUAUGGUUAAGCAAAACAUUCCCAGAUUUGACAAUGAAAUAAAACCUAGAAAAGUGAAGAUGAAUAAAUUAAUAAACUUCUGUUCAGUGGAAUCCCUGAUUCAGUGGAUAAAAAUAUAAGUUAAAGACUCAAUGAACAUGCAAGCUGCAUGUGGUGGCCAUGCCUGCCAUUCCAAAAACGUGGGAGGCUGAGACAGGAUGAUGGCCUAAGACUCAAUUCAAGGCCAGCCUCCACAACUUCCUGAAACCCCAUCUUAAAAAUAAAAAAAAAAAAAAUACUGGGGACAUAAAUCAUUUGUAAAGUGCCCAAGUGCCCUAGGGUUCAAUUCUCAAUCCCCCCCCCCCACUAAAAGAAAAAAAGAAAAAAAUAUAUAUAAACUCCACUUUCAGCAAAGUUCUUCUGUUUUGAAUGUAUAAGGUAUUCUCAAAACUCAACAUAGAACAAAAACAAACAAUCCUAAAAGAAAAAGGCAAGAAUCAAGGGCAUUAUGCUCAAAGAGAAUACAGUCACAGGGAAUGUGUUCAAUGUACUUUGCCAUAAGGAUUCCUGAACUAAGAUGAGUGGGACAAUGGUCAAGGCAUGAGAUUGGUACAUCCAUGGACCAGGAUACCACUUAACAAAGAGAAAAUACACUGCUGACACACAACAGCUUGGACAAGUCACCAGAGUCUCAUGCUGAAACUCUCUGAAAGGAAACAUACCACCUGAGUCCACUGAAGCAACACUGGUCAGAUGACCAGGUCACAGACACAGAAGACAACUUCAAGGCUGUCAGGGGUGAAGGAUGUGCCAGGACUGGGAGGGACAGAGGUGAAAAGAAAGGGAGACAGGCCAGCUGCUCAACACCAGAGCCCUUCUACACCCUGACUGUGGGGCUUUCAGCACCUGUUGAGGCCACUACACGGGGUUUCAAGAUGAGUCCACCCAGGAAGGCUGGGUAAAGUGCAAGGGGUCUCCCCACUAAUUCUGUCUCAGUGUGCAUCUGAAAUUACCUCGCUAUAAAACAAUUAGCCCUUUUAAAGAGCUUAGGCUUCAGGAUAAAACUAGAAGGCCCUGCUCACAGGAUGAAAAAUACUGAAAUAACAAAGUUGAAUGGUCCAAGCACAGGACCAACAGCAGCUGUGAUCCACUGGAGGUGACCACAAGGGCAUGGGCAAGAGGGCUGAACCCUGCUCCCUGCUGAAACUUCAGCCUGAUCUUCCGUGGUAACUAUGGCAUCCUGCCCUGGAAAUCCACACUUCACCUCCAUAACCCUCAAUGUGAACUUUGAAAGUGGCUGCAUUUCCAGGGAGACUGGCUGGGACGAGUCUAUAGAGAAGGCGCCUGGCCCCACCUACUGUCCGCCCAUUCCCCAGCACCCUUGUACCCGCCUGUACUCACACAGAGUCGCAGCUUCUUCUCUGGGGGCGAUUUCCUCAGCCAGCCAGAGUGCACUAAUUGGCUGCUAUCCAUGCUGCCCGCGGUGAUAGACCUGAGCGCAGAGUCAGUUGCACAGGCUGGGAGAGGAGACCUGGGCAUGCUUGUAUGCUCACUAGCCACGGAAGUCCUCAGCACCACGACCCCCUGGCCAGCUGCCUUAUGCAGGUCUGGAGACCUUCAGGCCUGCCACGGAAAUAACCCCUUCCCUCUGAGAAGGAGGGGGUGAUGCUGAAGGCCCCCUGAGCCUCGAGGGGUGGGGUGAAGUGUCUCUGCAUUUUCGAAACCAUCUGAAUGUUAACAUAGAGUACCCGGUACAACAUAAACACUAUGUAACAGUUUAGAAAUCUGCAUGGUUUGGCUGGGGCUGAGGUGUGUGGUGAAGUCAGGUGCACCCAAUUCAUCUUUCCCUAGAGGUUGGUCUUCUGCAUACCCGUGGACAUUUUUGCAACAUUUUUGCCAUCAAGACUGGCAGUUAGUUGGGGAUAGGUCACAUUAAUUCAGAAGCUCCUCUGGGUCUAAUUUCCUUAAACAAAAGUCCUGGAUUGUUGGUUACAAUUCCAUGUGGAAACAGAGAGUCUUGGAGGGAUAGUGUGGCUCCAUGUCUUCUGUGUACAUAUCAUCCUUCUCUUGCUCUCCUACCCCCAAAGCUACUGUGAAAUGAACCUUCAUUUGCAAUCUAUUUUAGUAUUUAGAGGAUUGAAAUGAAACUAAGAGUAUUGUUUUUUAACAGAGUCCCAUCCAAUCACAGUAGGGAGGUCUGAACUGACCAAAUGAGACAAACACCAUUUGCAACCUGAAAAGCUGACUUUGUAACCAGUUGAGUUGUUUUUGUACCUCACAUCUCUUUUCUGUUUGUAAAUGCCCCCUGAUCCUGUGGCCCUAUUCUUCUACUUUUGUGCUGCUGGAUUGUGAAUUGUUCUUUUAAAAAAAGGUUUAUUCAAUAAAUUGCUUUGCUUCACUUGGUGAAGUUUCUUCAUUUAAAAAUGACUUUGGGAUGUUUAUUAUUUUAUUUUUUGCCAAACUUUCCCAUCUCUCCCCCCUUCUUUCUGCAGCUUUUGGUAACUUCUAGUCUACUCUCAACUUCUGUUAUUCUUCCUUCUUAGAUAUUUUUAGAAUUUUAUUCAUCUAAAUGAAUUUUAUACUUUUUACACAAAGUGCUCAAUUUUUAAAGAAAUCAUGUUGGGAUUUUAAAAGAACAUGUAUGAAGCUGUAUAAAUUAAUAUGGAAAAAUACAUUGUAACAAAAUUAUAUAUUCCUUAUUACUCAGGCAUAAAGAAGAAUGAAAUUAUGGCAUUUGCUGGAAUGGAUGUGUUAUGGAGAGGCACUCCAGGAAACACUGUAAGUUUGAAUUUGAAAUCAAAAGAGAGUUUUAUUUACCUUGCCAGGGACUGUCACCCACCAUAGAGACUCAACCUCUGUAGGAGGACAGCAGCUUUCUGGUCCAUCCAAGAAGAAUAUAAGCAUAAAACCUACAACUUAGUGACUUGCUAAUAAUCAUGUAAGCUAGACAAUCAGAGAAAUUAAAACAUUAACAUGUGGGACCUGUGGGCUUUAGGCAGGACUGGAAAUUUCCAGUCAGCAAGCAAGUGAUAAACAUAAGCACUAAUAAGUAGCUGAAUUAGAAAUAAACAUAUAGAAAUAAAUGUUUUUAUAUGUAUUAAUCAUAACCAGUUAGGAAAAAACAUAUAGGUAAAAACAUUGCCUUCAUAAUAGCUACAGCAAAUUUAUAAUACAUUAAAAAUUUUUAUUGAUCUGGAAGAAAAUUAUAAAUCUUUUUACUGAGAUGCUUAAUAGUCCACAAGUCCUCAUAGGAGGAAGGACACAGGUCUGGAGAGGAAUGCCAUAAAUAUUUGGUUUUUGCUUAGUUGAGACAGAAUCUAUGUUGUCCAGGCUGGCCUUGAACUCCUGGGCUCAACUGAUCCUUUUACCUCAGCCUCCCAAGCAGCUGGAACAACAGGCAUGCAACACCAUGCCUGGUUAAUAAACCUUUCAUGGCCAUGAUUCUGUUGUAUAUUUUCUUUAUAGAUAACUUCUUACUUUUUAUAAGUUAAAAUAUACUAGAAAGGGCAAGCAGCAUAGGCCCUCUCUUCAUUCCCUGACCCCAAAUUAAGCCUCUGGAGAUGGGGCUGCCCAGGGGACUCUGCUGCACAGCUAGAUCUGGCAGUGACUCAGAAGCCACUUUUUGCAGAACAGAGACCUCUGAAUUUCUUAGUAUUCCUGCCAAGGAAUAGAUUUCAAAUAAACACUUAAUUUAAGACUUUUUAAUGAUUCAAACUAUUGAAGAAGCUGUACUUACACAAUUUCACAUUGUCUUCACAGAAUAAUUUUGUGCAAUACUGUCUGAAUUAUUUUUCUCUAUAGGGAAGCUGCAUAAAAUAUUCUACAUCAACCCGGAUUCUUAAACGUGAAACAGAGAUAGUUCCAUUACAAAUAAAAAUUGUGCAUAAUAUAGUCAUUUAAAAUAUACAUAUAUAAUUAUUAUGCUUAAUGUAAAACAAAACACAUACAAAAAUUGUUUCUAAUGGCACUACCACAGGCAAGGGAAAAGCUCUUUCUUGAAGAAUGACAAAAAAAAUCUUUAUUUUUAUGUAAAAACACAAAUAUACAUAUAGUACAUAAAUUGAUGAUGAGCAUAUGUUGGUAUGAAAAUUUCAACAAAGAAGCCCAAAAAUUUAAGAAAAAAAAGUGUUUCAAUGAGGAUUUGGUGGUUGAGACAUAAUGAACAAAUCUGUGAAGAAAUUCUAUUUAUGAUCUUUAAAUAUCAACAUUGGUAUAAGACCAGAAUUACAUGAAAGUUUCUAUAAACAGAUGGAUUUUGCAAUAGUUAGUAUUUGCCAAUUUUGCACGAAGAAAUAAAAUACUGAGAUUGGAUAAUAAGUUCAAUAUCAGGCUGGGGGUGGGUAUGCAGCUCAGUGAUAGAGUACAUGCAUGGGCUGAGGAUAGCAUGUAUGGGUUCCAUACUACAAAACGAAACCAGUACCAAAAAAGUACAAUGUUUUACUUCAGAUUAAGGCAAAUGACAGCCCACUUUACCAGAUUAUUUCAAUGUGAACUAGUCUCUUCCCUGGAUCCUCAUCAUGCCUGAAUGUACAUCAUCUUUUGUCUCAUAAAGUUUAGGAAAAGGUGAUUGCCCAAUUUCAUCAUAUUAUUCUCCUGCCUCAAUAAACCUAGAUCAAAACACCAAAUACAAAAAGAAAGUCCCCAAGAGCUCAAAACAAGUUAUUUUAAUAACAAUUGUGGUUAUUAUAAACAUGCAAAAUUACAAGCUGGAGAAGGAUCUACUUUUUCCUUAAGUACCUAUAAAUCCCCAAUAUCUGGAAAUUCCUGCUGUGACAUUGUUCUUUCUAUUGAGGAGACCCCUCCUAUUGCAACUGAAGUUUACUUGGUAUUGCUCCUCCUUCAAUAGAAGAGUACUCAUAGUUGUUUAUUAAACUGACAAUCUCUUACUCUGAGAAGGAAACUAGAAACAUUAUCACAAAACGCUGAGACUGACUUGUUGCUCAUGUUUUCUAGUAAAUGUGACAUGUGGCCCCAGAGUCAGUGAAGACUAUCCAGUCACCACCCAGUUAUCAGCUCAUUAUGAUCUCUCUCUCCACCUUAAGCCACUUUGAUAAGCAGGAGAAUAAAGAACACACACUUGAGCACACAAUCUGAUCUCUGCAACCUGAGGCCAGACCAGCAACCUACCCUUCUGGGGAGACAAGUGUUCCUCUCUACUUCCUGUUACUGUCUUUCUUGCAGCCACCCUUCCCUAAUGGACUUGCUCCAUCACAGGAGCAAACUGAGGGAAUGCAACAGAGAACAGCUGGUGAAGGCUCCAGGAGAUGCAAAGCAAAGUGCCCAAACCCAUAUGCCCUUUCCAGGAAGGAAGGUGGAGAAGAGAGAGGUUGCCCUGCACCACCACUUUGGCUCCUGGGAAUAUACCACACAAACCUACAAAAGAAAAGGAAGAUUUGGUUUUCAUGUUUGAUGUCAAGAAUCUCUAGUCACAUAAUUGGACCAAAAGUUCCCUCUGGAAACCAUCUCAGCCUACAUUUUACCUUACAGAAGAGGAGAGAUGUUACCAUCUGGACCUGCUAAGCUAAACACAGUCUCCCAGUUACAGAAUUUCAGGAGGAAUACAGGUCUCCCAGAUUCUAUUCCACUGUUUUUCUUACUACAGUAGUCCCCUCAUCCACAGUUUCAGUGCUCACUGGUUAAAUAAAACUUGAACAUAUUAAUAGGAAAUUCCAGAAAUAAACAAUUCACAAGUUUUACGUUAUGCUCCAUUCUGAGUAUUUUGAUGAAAUCUCACCGUUUCCUUCCAUCUCAUUCCAUCAAUCCCAGAACAUGAAGUAUUCCUUUGUAGAGUAUACCCAUGCUGCAUGUACCACCUACCCAUUAGUCACUCAGUAACCAUAUCCAUUGCAGAAUUGUUAUUGCAGGUGCUUAUGUUCAAGUAACUAUUAAUGGCCCCAAAGUGCAAACUAUUAAAGUGUAUUAUUAUUAUUAUUUUAAAUAUUAUAAUUAAUCUUUUACUGUGACUAAUCUAUAAAUUAAAGUAUCAUAAAUAUUAAUGUACAUGGAAAAACC